UACGGAGGGUGCGAGCGUUAAUCGGAAUCACUGGGCGUAAAGGGCGCGUAGGCGGUGGGUUACGUCUGCCGUGAAAUCCCCGGGCUCAACCUGGGAAUGGCGGUGGAAACGGGCUGACUAGAGUAUGGGAGAGGGUGAUGGAAUUCCAGGUGUAGCGGUGAAAUGCGUAGAGAUCUGGAGGAACAUCAGUGGCGAAGGCGGUCACCUGGCCCAAUACUGACGCUGAGGCGCGAAAGCGUGGGGAGCAAACAGGAUUAGAUACCCUGGUAGUCCACGCCCUAAACGAUGGAUACUAGAUGUUUGGUGCCUUAGGUGCUGAGUGUCGUAGCUAACGUGAUAAGUAUCCCGCCUGGGAAGUACGGCCGCAAGGUUAAA
rnacentral:rRNA from 1 species